rnacentral:rRNA from 1 species
GAGGGUGCAGCGUUACUCGGAAUCACUGGGCGUAAAGGGCGCGUAGGCGGAUUAUCAAGUCUCUUGUGAAAUCUAAUGGCUUAACCAUUAAACUGCUUGGGAAACUGAUAGUCUAGAGUGAGGGAGAGGCAGAUGGAAUUGGUGGUGUAGGGGUAAAAUCCGUAGAUAUCACCAAGAAUACCCAUUGCGAAGGCGAUCUGCUGGAACUCAACUGACGCUAAGGCGCGAAAGCGUGGGGAGCAAACAGGAUUAGAUACCCUGGUAGUCCACGCCCUAAACGAUGUACACUAGUUGUUGGGGUGCUAGUCAUCUCAGUAAUGCAGCUAACGCAUUAAGUGUACCGCCUGGGGAGUACGGUCGCAAGAUUAAAACUCAAAGGAAUAGACGGGGACCCGCACAAGCGGUGGAGCAUGUGGUUUAAUUCGAAGAUACGCGAAGAACCUUACCUGGGCUUGAUAUCCUAAGAACCUUUUAGAGAUAAGAGGGUGCUAGCUUGCUAGAACUUAGAGACAGGUGCUGCACGGCUGUCGUCAGCUCGUGUCGUGAGAUGUUGGGUUAAGUCCCGCAACGAGCGCAACCCACGUAUUUAGUUGCUAACGGUUCGGCCGAGCACUCUAAAUAGACUGCCUUCGUAAGGAGGAGGAAGGUGUGGACGACGUCAAGUCAUCAUGGCCCUUAUGCCCAGGGCGACACACGUGCUACAAUGGCAUAUACAAUGAGACGCAAUACCGCGAGGUGGAGCAAAUCUAUAAAAUAUGUCCCAGUUCGGAUUGUUCUCUGCAACUCGAGAGCAUGAAGCCGGAAUCGCUAGUAAUCGUAGAUCAGCCAUGCUACGGUGAAUACGUUCCCGGGUCUUGUACUCACCGCCCGUCACACCAUGGGAGUUGAUUUCACUCGAAGCCGGAAUACUA